rnacentral:rRNA from 1 species
UACGUAGGGUGCAAGCGUUAAUCGGAAUUACUGGGCGUAAAGCGUGCGCAGGCGGUUAUGCAAGACAGAUGUGAAAUCCCCGGGCUCAACCUGGGAACUGCAUCUGUGACUGCAUGGCUAGAGUGCGGCAGAGGGGGAUGGAAUUCCGCGUGUAGCAGUGAAAUGCGUAGAUAUGCGGAGGAACACCGAUGGCGAAGGCAAUCCCCUGGGCCUGCACUGACGCUCAUGCACGAAAGCGUGGGGAGCAAACAGG